GUGGGGAAUAUUGGACAAUGGGCGAAAGCCUGAUCCAGCCAUGCCGCGUGUGUGAAGAAGGUCUUCGGAUUGUAAAGCACUUUAAGUUGGGAGGAAGGGCAGUAAGUUAAUACCUUGCUGUUUUGACGUUACCGACAGAAUAAGCACCGGCUAACUUCGUGCCAGCAGCCGCGGUAAUACGAAGGGUGCAAGCGUUAAUCGGAAUUACUGGGCGUAAAGCGCGCGUAGGUGGUUUUGUAAGUUGGAGGUGAAAUCCCCGGGCUCAACCUGGGAACUGCCUCCAAAAUUGCAUGACUAGAGUACGGUAGAGGGUAGUGGAAUUUCCUGUGUAGCGGUGAAAUGCGUAGAUAUAGGAAGGAACACCAGUGGCGAAGGCGACUACCUGGACUGAUACUGACACUGAGGUGCGAAAGCGUGGGGAGCAAACAGGAUUAGAUACCCCUGUAGUCC
rnacentral:rRNA from 1 species